rnacentral:lncRNA from 1 species
AAUGCAGGAAAGCGGAACACAGAGGAGCAGGCAUCCUGACUCCCCAGCUCCGGUGUCCUUUACCCAAGCUCGUGUCGCGGGCAUUUAGGCCCCUCCAAAAAUGCCUCUGCUGUCCCUUUGAGUGGCUGCCAAGCAUUUCACUACGGGGGUUUUCCUCCUUUUGUCGAACAUCUAAGUAACCGGCAGGUCGCUGCUUUCUACUCCAGACUGUGCUGUAAGGAAACUUCUUUGAGCACAGUCUUUGUCCAGGUCCCUGAUGACGCCCGAGGCUGGAUUCCCACGAGGAGACAAUUACCAAGUCAAAAGCUCUGAACAUGUGUGAGGUUGUUAAUACGCUUUGCCAAGUCGGUCCCACGGGCCGCUGGCCACGGGCCACGCAGGAGCGUUCACGGCGGCAACAUUUCAAAGCGUGUCAGCGCCGUGGUCAGAGGUCUCGGUCUACCUUCGAGGACCCCCGUGAUCGCAUCGAGCCCCCACGCAUCGCGCGGAACAGCCUUGCUAUGGCAAAGCGGGCUGGCGAGCAUCUCUGGGGUGAAGGACGGACCCUGCCAGAGGCGGGUGUUGCAAACAGAGGCGGCCUCGGCCUCGGGCCGGUGCCCGGCGCCCGGGACCCACGCGGAAAUUGGACCCUCCGGGCGGCAGCUGAGGCAGGACCCUGCUGGGGUUUGGCCGGAGGACGGAGUCACUGCCAGAGAGUGCGGGGGCCGAGAGGAAACUGGGAAGGGCCCCGCUUCCCUGCCCUGGCCUCGUGGGUCGGUCCGGCCGGUGCCCUUGAACGGCCGUGGGGCGAGCUGGCCAGGGAAGGCUCGAGUCCAGCCGAGGCCGGGAGCCGCUGGCCCGGACCCGCUCGGCCUCCGCGGCCGCUCUGACCCCCUCCCUCGGGGCCCAGAGUCCUGUCAGAAACGGGACGCGGUUCUGGCCUCGUCCUCGAGACAACUGUCCACGGCGGCUCCCUUGGCAGCCGACUCCCCCGAUGGCCGUGACCUCUUCCAGAGGAGCUGAAGGUCAGAGGCAGCGAGACCCGGUCCCGCCGUGGGGACAGACGCUCGCGGUACGCCCUCCAUAUGGCUCAGUCAUUUGGGAUUUCUCACACGUCUCCGGGGAAGGCUGGAGGGGUUUGGCUGUGUCUCCUACGGCUUUGCAGCCUGUGUCUCUUCUCAUCAAUAAAAGAUUGGGUUUACUCA